rnacentral:rRNA from 1 species
ACUAAGCGUACACGGUGGAUGCCCUGGCAGUCAGAGGCGAUGAAGGACGUGCUAAUCUGCGAUAAGCGUCGGUAAGGUGAUAUGAACCGUUAUAACCGGCGAUUUCCGAAUGGGGAAACCCAGUGUGAUUCGUCACACUAUCAUUAACUGAAUCCAUAGGUUAAUGAGGCGAACCGGGGGAACUGAAACAUCUAAGUACCCCGAGGAAAAGAAAUCAACCGAGAUUCCCCCAGUAGCGGCGAGCGAACGGGGAGCAGCCCAGAGCCUGAAUCAGUGUGUGUGUUAGUGGAAGCGUCUGGAAAGGCGUGCGAUACAGGGUGACAGCCCCGUACACAAAAAUGCACAUAUUGUGAGCUCGAUGAGUAGGGCGGGACACGUGGUAUCCUGUCUGAAUAUGGGGGGACCAUCCUCCAAGGCUAAAUACUCCUGACUGACCGAUAGUGAACCAGUACCGUGAGGGAAAGGCGAAAAGAACCCCGGCGAGGGGAGUGAAAAAGAACCUGAAACCGUGUACGUACAAGCAGUGGGAGCACGCUUAGGCGUGUGACUGCGUACCUUUUGUAUAAUGGGUCAGCGACUUAUAUUCUGUAGCAAGGUUAACCGAAUAGGGGAGCCGAAGGGAAACCGAGUCUUAACUGGGCGUUAAGUUGCAGGGUAUAGACCCGAAACCCGGUGAUCUAGCCAUGGGCAGGUUGAAGGUUGGGUAACACUAACUGGAGGACCGAACCGACUAAUGUUGAAAAAUUAGCGGAUGACUUGUGGCUGGGGGUGAAAGGCCAAUCAAACCGGGAGAUAGCUGGUUCUCCCCGAAAGCUAUUUAGGUAGCGCCUCGUGAAUUCAUCUCCGGGGGUAGAGCACUGUUUCGGCAAGGGGGUCAUCCCGACUUACCAACCCGAUGCAAACUGCGAAUACCGGAGAAUGUUAUCACGGGAGACACACGGCGGGUGCUAACGUCCGUCGUGAAGAGGGAAACAACCCAGACCGCCAGCUAAGGUCCCAAAGUCAUGGUUAAGUGGGAAACGAUGUGGGAAGGCCCAGACAGCCAGGAUGUUGGCUUAGAAGCAGCCAUCAUUUAAAGAAAGCGUAAUAGCUCACUGGUCGAGUCGGCCUGCGCGGAAGAUGUAACGGGGCUAAACCAUGCACCGAAGCUGCGGCAGCGACACUAUGUGUUGUUGGGUAGGGGAGCGUUCUGUAAGCCUGUGAAGGUGUACUGUGAGGUAUGCUGGAGGUAUCAGAAGUGCGAAUGCUGACAUAAGUAACGAUAAAGCGGGUGAAAAGCCCGCUCGCCGGAAGACCAAGGGUUCCUGUCCAACGUUAAUCGGGGCAGGGUGAGUCGACCCCUAAGGCGAGGCCGAAAGGCGUAGUCGAUGGGAAACAGGUUAAUAUUCCUGUACUUGGUGUUACUGCGAAGGGGGGACGGAGAAGGCUAUGUUGGCCGGGCGACGGUUGUCCCGGUUUAAGCGUGUAGGCUGGUUUUCCAGGCAAAUCCGGAAAACUAAGGCUGAGGCGUGAUGACGAGGCACUACGGUGCUGAAGCAACAAAUGCCCUGCUUCCAGGAAAAGCCUCUAAGCAUCAGGUAACAUCAAAUCGUACCCCAAACCGACACAGGUGGUCAGGUAGAGAAUACCAAGGCGCUUGAGAGAACUCGGGUGAAGGAACUAGGCAAAAUGGUGCCGUAACUUCGGGAGAAGGCACGCUGAUAUGUAGGUGAAGUCCCUCGCGGAUGGAGCUGAAAUCAGUCGAAGAUACCAGCUGGCUGCAACUGUUUAUUAAAAACACAGCACUGUGCAAACACGAAAGUGGACGUAUACGGUGUGACGCCUGCCCGGUGCCGGAAGGUUAAUUGAUGGGGUCAGCGCAAGCGAAGCUCUUGAUCGAAGCCCCGGUAAACGGCGGCCGUAACUAUAACGGUCCUAAGGUAGCGAAAUUCCUUGUCGGGUAAGUUCCGACCUGCACGAAUGGCGUAAUGAUGGCCAGGCUGUCUCCACCCGAGACUCAGUGAAAUUGAACUCGCUGUGAAGAUGCAGUGUACCCGCGGCAAGACGGAAAGACCCCGUGAACCUUUACUAUAGCUUGACACUGAACAUUGAGCCUUGAUGUGUAGGAUAGGUGGGAGGCUUUGAAGUGUGGACGCCAGUCUGCAUGGAGCCGACCUUGAAAUACCACCCUUUAAUGUUUGAUGUUCUAACGUUGACCCGUAAUCCGGGUUGCGGACAGUGUCUGGUGGGUAGUUUGACUGGGGCGGUCUCCUCCUAAAGAGUAACGGAGGAGCACGAAGGUUGGCUAAUCCUGGUCGGACAUCAGGAGGUUAGUGCAAUGGCAUAAGCCAGCUUGACUGCGAGCGUGACGGCGCGAGCAGGUGCGAAAGCAGGUCAUAGUGAUCCGGUGGUUCUGAAUGGAAGGGCCAUCGCUCAACGGAUAAAAGGUACUCCGGGGAUAACAGGCUGAUACCGCCCAAGAGUUCAUAUCGACGGCGGUGUUUGGCACCUCGAUGUCGGCUCAUCACAUCCUGGGGCUGAAGUAGGUCCCAAGGGUAUGGCUGUUCGCCAUUUAAAGUGGUACGCGAGCUGGGUUUAGAACGUCGUGAGACAGUUCGGUCCCUAUCUGCCGUGGGCGCUGGAGAACUGAGGGGGGCUGCUCCUAGUACGAGAGGACCGGAGUGGACGCAUCACUGGUGUUCGGGUUGUCAUGCCAAUGGCACUGCCCGGUAGCUAAAUGCGGAAGAGAUAAGUGCUGAAAGCAUCUAAGCACGAAACUUGCCCCGAGAUGAGUUCUCCCUGACUCCUUGAGAGUCCUGAAGGAACGUUGAAGACGACGACGUUGAUAGGCCGGGUGUGUAAGCGCAGCGAUGCGUUGAGCUAACCGGUACUAAUGAACCGUGAGGCUUAACC